GCUCCGUAGUUCAGUUGGUUAGAGCAUUGUCCCAAUAUGACAAGGUUCCAGGUUCAAUCCCUGGUCAGGGCA
rnacentral:tRNA from 1 species